rnacentral:rRNA from 1 species
AGAGUUUGAUCCUGGCUCAGGAUGAACGCUAGCGACAGGCUUAACGACAUGCAAGUCGAGGGGCAGCACGGUGUAGCAAUACACUGGUGGCGACCGGCGCACGGGUGAGUAACACGUGUGCAACAACCCCGUACCGGGAGAUAACCCGCGGAAACGUGGACUAACAUCCCAUAACACUCUAGAGCCGCAUGGUUCUGGAUUUAAAAUUCCGGUGGUACGGGACGGGGCACGCGCGACAUUAGGUAGUUGGCGGGGUAACGGCCCACCAAGCCGACGAUGUCUAGGGGUUCUGAGAGGAAGGUCCCCCACACUGGAACUGAGACACGGUCCAGACUCCUACGGGAGGCAGCA